AACCAUAGAAACCUGCGGAGUACCUGCGGAGGGAUCAUUACCGAGUUUACAACUCCCAAACCCCUGUGAACAUACCAAUUGUUGCCUCGGCGGAUCAGCCCGCUCCCGGUAAAACGGGACGGCCCGCCAGAGGACCCCUAAACUCUGUUUCUAUAUGUAACUUCUGAGUAAAACCAUAAAUAAAUCAAAACUUUCAGCAAUGGAUCU
rnacentral:misc_RNA from 1 species